AGAGGUAAGAGGUACUACAGGGUUAGGAGGUGAAAUCUUGUAAUCCCUGUGGAACCACCUGUGGCGAAGGCGUCGUUACCAGAACGGGUUCGACGGUGAAGGGACGAAAGCUGGGGGACACGAACCGGAUUAGAUACCCGGGUAGUCCCAGCCGUAAACGAUGCUCGCUAGGUGUCAGGCAUGGCGCGACCGUGUCUGGUGCCGCAGGGAAGCCGUGAAGCGAGCCACCUGGGAAGUACGGCCGCAAGGCUGAAACUUAAAGGAAUUGGCGGGGGAGCACAACAACGGGUGGAGCCCUGCGGUUUAAUUGGACUCAACGCCGGACAACUCACCGGGGGCGACAGCAAUAUGUAGGCCAAGCUGAAGACUUUGCCUGAAUCGCUGAGUGGAGGUGCAUGG
rnacentral:rRNA from 1 species